UUUCGUGUCCGGCAGCGUGGAGGACAACAUGACGACCAAACUUUCUCCAAAAGUGCGAUUAAAAUGAGGUUUUAAACGAUGGUUUAUGCCUCCAACGUCCAUAAAGAAAGAAGAGGUGAAAGAUUUAACUCACAGAGGGAGGAAAACAUUCAGAAACACCGUCUGUCUCAAACAACAGCCAACCAAAGAGGGAGAAGUUGAUCCAAGAUGGUGGAGAGUCUGGCAGAACAAAGGCAGAAGGGGGUGCUGGUGAGUUGGAGACACAGACGCCACCACAGAAACACUGCAGUCUUUCCAGUCGCCACUUCCAGACAGAGACCGCAACUGCUUUCUCAAAGGAGGACCAGCUCAUGGACGAGACGGACUGUCUGUGACCCAACUUCACACUUUGAAGCUGUGAUCUGAGUGACCUGAUGAAGCUCAGGUGUUCCUGGACCCAUCAGAGGACAGUGACAGCUGCAGCAUCAGGACAGUCUGUGUAUCCAAAGGAAGACUCAUCAGGAUGAACACUGACCGCAGAGCUCCAUUACCAGCUCACACUGCAGUAUACUAGAAACCUUG